ACACUCAGACGUGGAUGUGCCUACACCAGAAGUGGGAGCCACUGCAUUCCCAGAAGUGGAUCCACUAAACUUCAUCUUCAAGCAGACUUGAGACCUAAAGCAGGAUUUGAAUGGGAGAACCUGUCACUGCUAAACUAGCUGAUAGCUGUGUGCCUGGCUGCCAUUACUCCUUAUUUACCAGCAUUAUUUCUUCCGUUUUCCCAGAGAAGUGCUCUUGUGCUUAUUGAAGUGUGAAGCAGCAACACAAACGUAACAGAGAGAGGAUAGCUGUUUUCUGUAAGAGAAAAAUAUUGAUGACUUGCCCAGUAACAAAGUUGCCUUGAGACAUGCCCAUGGCUUCCUAUCCGGAGCACCAGUUAGGAAGGAUGCUUCAUUGGGAAACACAACCAUCCUGCCAUUAUCUCAGCUGAGGCAAGUGGCUGUUAAACUCAGGUUAUUAAACUCCAGAUUCUUCAUGUGCAGAAACUGCAAAUCUGACUGUCUAAGUACUCUCUCGGUCAGGGCUGGUAGCAGCCACACUUCCUAAUGCCCAUUCUGCACCACUGUGAGAUGUGAGAUACUGGAUCCAAAUUUCAUUGAAUUAUUGAUAUGGGUCAGAACCAACUCAGUGUGAGAGGGGGGGUGUGUGUGUGUGUGUGCGUGUGUGUGUGUAGAAGGACUGGGCCUAGAUCGGCAGGUCCACGGUAAGGCCUGCACACAAGGCCCACUGAGAGCACACAGCAGAGCCAGAAGGCCUGUGGCCAACAUGGCUGAACCCACGGCGAGCACAGGGCAGAGCCAGAGGGCAAGGCCUGCAGCCCAUGGAGAGCACACAGCAGAGCUGCAGCCCUGCAGCCGGGCUGUCAGUCAAGGCCCACUGACACCACACCCCUGCAGCCUGUGACUCGCUACAGCACAACUCACUCAGGCCUGGAAGGCACUGACUGGGUAUCCUGCCUGCGAGGGAAAACUGAACUAUAAAAAUACAUGAGACUCCAUGUGUGUCCUUCUCUGCUCUCCUCUCUGUCCUCUCUCCUGCAACCUGAACUAUGUGAACCAUCAGGUCUUCACUUGGCAAAGGAGAAUAGAAGAUCAUGAGCACAGAGAAGGGGAAAAACAACUGAAUGGAUGUGUCAGAAGCAUGAUUUUGUGAGCAAUAGGAGUGAUCGGCACAUGGCUGGAGAUCUUUUCAUGUUGAUCUACAAAAUGAGUCUUUGAAAUAACCUGAACUAAAACAGAAAAAGAUCUCUUUGUAGAAUAGAGUUUUUCUUUAAUGUGACUAUUUGCCAUGGUUAUUGACUUAAAACCCACUAUAACUGAAAAUAUAAAAUGAAAGCAGUGUGGAUCCUGCAGUGUUCAGGAUAUUACAGUGUGAUUCAAUUCAGAAAUUGCAGGAAGCUGUGCAGAACAUUUGUUGUCAGAUAGGACUGUCAGGCAGGACUAUCAAGGUUCUGAAGAACAGACAAAAUUAUUAGAUUGUGGCCAGAAUUCGUGCAGAGCCAAAAUAAACUUUUGCUUCUUUGACUGCAGAA